UCCAGAAGUGUUUGUCUGCCAAAAGUGCC
rnacentral:piRNA from 1 species